rnacentral:rRNA from 1 species
CGGCAUGCCUAACACAUGCAAGUCGAACGAGAUCUUCGGAUCUAGUGGCGGACGGGUGAGUAACGCGUGGGUAUCUGCCCUGGAGCGUGGAAUAACCGCUGGAAACGGCGGCUAAUACCGCAUACGCCCUGAGGGGGAAAGGCUUUCGGCCACUCUGGGAGGAACCCGCGUCCGAUUAGCUAGUUGGAGGGGUAACGGCCCACCAAGGCGACGAUCGGUAGCUGGUCCGAGAGGAUGAUCAGCCACACUGGGACUGAGACACGGCCCAGACUCC